UGCAAGUCGAACGAGAAUCUACUGAAGGAGGAUUCGUCCAACGGAAGUAGAGGAAAGUGGCGGACGGGUGAGUAACGCGUGAGGAACCUGCCUUGAAGAGGGGGACAACAGUCGGAAACGACUGCUAAUACCGCAUGAUGCAUAGGGGUCGCAUGAUCUUUAUGCCAAAGAUUUAUCGCUUCAAGAUGGCCUCGCGUCUGAUUAGCUGGUUGGCGGGGUAACGGCCCACCAAGGCGACGAUCAGUAGCCGGACUGAGAGGUUGAACGGCCACAUUGGGACUGAGAUACGGCCCAGACUCCUACGGGAGGCAGCAGUGGGGAAUAUUGGGCAAUGGGCGCAAGCCUGACCCAGCAACGCCGCGUGAAGGAAGAAGGCUUUCGGGUUGUAAACUUCUUUUAAGAGGGAAGAGCAGAAGACGGUACCUCUAGAAUAAGCCACGGCUAACUACGUGCCAGCAGCCGCGGUAAUACGUAGGUGGCAAGCGUUGUCCGGAUUUACUGGGUGUAAAGGGCGUGCAGCCGGGUCUGCAAGUCAGAUGUGAAAUCCAUGGGCUCAACCCAUGAACUGCAUUUGAAACUGUAGAUCUUGAGUGUCGGAGGGGCAAUCGGAAUUCCUAGUGUAGCGGUGAAAUGCGUAGAUAUUAGGAGGAACACCAGUGGCGAAGGCGGAUUGCUGGACGAUAACUGACGGUGAGGCGCGAAAGUGUGGGGAGCAAACAGGAUUAGAUACCCUGGUAGUCCACACUGUAAACGAUGAAUACUAGGUGUGCGGGACUGACCCCCUGCGUGCCGCAGUAAACACAAUAAGUAUUCCACCUGGGGAGUACGAUCGCA
rnacentral:rRNA from 1 species